GCGGAAUUUUGGGGAUUUCGGGUGGAAUUUUGGGGGUUUGGGGUGGAAUUUUGGGGGUUUAAAGUCAGAAUUUGGGAUUUUGGGUGGAAUUUUGGGGGUUUAAAGUCAGAAUUUGGGAUUUUGGGUGGAAUUUUUGGGAUUUCGGGUGGAAUUUUGGGGAUUUCGGGUGGAAUUUUGGGGGUUUGGGGUGGAAUUUUGGGGGUUUAAAGUCAGAAUUUGGGAUUUUGGGUGGAAUUUUGGGGGGUUUGGGGCUGGAAUUUGGGGUUUUGGGGCUCAAAUUUGGGAUUUUGGGUGGAAUUUUGGGGGUUUAAAGUCAGAAUUUGGGAUUUCGGGUGGAAUUUUGGGGGUUUGGGGCUGGAAUUUGGGAUUUGGGGUGGAAUUGUUGGGUUUUUGGGUGGAAUUUUGGGGAUUUUGGGUGGAAUUUUGGGGAUUUCGGGUGGAAUUUUGGGGGUUUAAAGUCAGAAUUUGGGAUUUUGGGUGGAAUUUUUGGGAUUUUGGGUGGAAUUUUUGGGUUUUUGGGUGGAAUUUUGGGGAUUUUGGGUGGAAUUUUGGGGGGUUUGGGGCUGGAAUUUGGGAUUUCGGUGGAAUUUUGGGGGUUUGGGGUGGAGUUUUGGGGAUUUUGGGUGGAAUUUUUGGGGAUUUUGGGUGGAAUUUUGGGGAUUUCGGGUGGAAUUUUGGGAUUUGGGGUGGAAUUUUUGGGUUUUUGGGUGGAAUUUUGGGGAUUUCGGGUGGAAUUUUGGGGGGUUUGGGGCUGGAAUUUGGGAUUUCGGGUGGAAUUUUGGGGGUUUGGGUUGGGGUUUUGGGGGUUUAGGACUGGAAUUUGGGAUUUUGGGUGGAAUUUUUGGGAUUUUGGGUGGAAUUUGGGGGGUUUAGGACUGGAAUUUGGGAUUUUGGGUGGAAUUUUGGGGGUUUGGGGUUGGAAUUUGGGAUUUGGGGCUGGAAUUUUGGGGGUUUGGGGUGGAAUUUUGGGGGUUUUGGGGCUGGAAUUUGGGAUUUGGGGUGGAAUUUUGGGGGGCUUGGGAUUGGAAUUUGGGGAGUUGGAGUCAGAAUUUGGGAUCUUGGAUGGAAUUUUGGGG
rnacentral:lncRNA from 1 species